UACGUAGGGUGCAAGCGUUGUCCGGAAUUAUUGGGCGUAAAGGGCUCGUAGGCGGUUUGUCGCGUCGGGAGUGAAAACACCGGGCUUAACUCGGUGCUUGCUUCCGAUACGGGUGGACUAGAGGUAGGUAGGGGAGAUCGGAAUUCCUGGUGUAGCGGUGAAAUGCGCAGAUAUCAGGAGGAACACCGGUGGCGAAGGCGGAUCUCUGGGCCUUACCUGACGCUGAGGAGCGAAAGCAUGGGGAGCAAACAGG
rnacentral:rRNA from 1 species